rnacentral:rRNA from 1 species
AGUCGAGGGGCAUCAGUUUGGUUUGCUUGCAAACCAAAGCUGGCGACCGGCGCACGGGUGAGUAACACGUAUCCAACCUGCCUCAUACUCGGGGAUAGCCUUUCGAAAGAAAGAUUAAUAUCCGAUAGCAUAUAUUUCCCGCAUGGGUUUUAUAUUAAAGAAAUUCGGUAUGAGAUGGGGAUGCGUUCCAUUAGUUUGUUGGCGGGGUAACGGCCCACCAAGACUACGAUGGAUAGGGGUUCUGAGAGGAAGGUCCCCCACAUUGGAACUGAGACACGGUCCAAACUCCUACGGGAGGCAGCAGUGAGGAAUAUUGGUCAAUGGACGCGAGUCUGAACCAGCCAAGUAGCGUGAAGGAUGACUGCCCUAUGGGUUGUAAACUUCUUUUAUAUGGGAAUAAAGUGGUCCACGUGUGGAUUUUUGUAUGUACCAUAUGAAUAAGGAUCGGCUAACUCCGUGCCAGCAGCCGCGGUAAUACGGAGGAUCCGAGCGUUAUCCGGAUUUAUUGGGUUUAAAGGGAGCGUAGGCGGAUUGUUAAGUCAGUUGUGAAAGUUUGCGGCUCAACCGUAAAAUUGCAGUUGAUACUGGCAGUCUUGAGUGCAGUAGAGGUGGGCGGAAUUCGUGGUGUAGCGGUGAAAUGCUUAGAUAUCACGAAGAACUCCGAUUGCGAAGGCAG